rnacentral:rRNA from 1 species
GACGAACGCUGGCGGCGUGCCUAAUACAUGCAAGUUGAGCGCUGAAGGUUGGUACUUGUACCAACUGGAUGAGCAGCGAACGGGUGAGUAACGCGUGGGGAAUCUGCCUUUGAGCGGGGGACAACAUUUGGAAACGAAUGCUAAUACCGCAUAAAAACUUUAAACACAAGUUUUAAGUUUGAAAGAUGCAAUUGCAUCACUCAAAGAUGAUCCCGCGUUGUAUUAGCUAGUUGGUGAGGUAAAGGCUCGCCAAGGCGAUGAUACAUAGCCGACCUGAGAGGGGGAGCGGCCACAUUGGGACUGAGACACGGCCCAAACUCCUACGGGAGGCAGCAGUAGGGAAUCUUCGGCAAUGGACGAAAGUCUGACCGAGCAACGCCGCGUGAGUGAAGAAGGUUUUCGGAUCGUAAAACUCUGUUGGUAGAGAAGAACGUUGGUGAGAGUGGAAAGCUCAUCAAGUGACGGUAACUACCCAGAAAGGGACGGCUAACUACGUG